CAGUUUUCGGCAUUGUGGCGGGUUUAUUGUUGGUGAUACCCGGUGUAGUGGCAUUUAUUUGUUGGAAACGCAAAGGAGGAAGAUGUGGAGAGAAGGUGAUCACUGAAGGACGUCCGGACUGUAAGAGAAAGCAGAAGGAUCAGACUGAACCUGGUGUUACUUACUCUACUGUAACCCACGUGAACACAGCCGGAGCAGCACGGGUCCAGAUCAACGCUGGAGACAAAACUGAAUAUGCCAGCAUUCUAACAAACUAAUCCACAGUAAAUAUCUAGAAUAAUACUGAAUACAUGCAGUAUAUUAAAUACACACCAAUGGGAAGCACAGGAUUCACAAUUCUGGCUUAGUUUAUUAUACUGUGGCUUUUUUUUUAUUAUUAUUUGACCAUAAAUAGCAGAUUUAAUCAUAUUUGUGUGCUGAUGGAUAAUCCUGCAAAUUAUAUUUUUAAUGUUCGUGUCAUUUAUUAUCAUUUAUUUUGUGUCAUUUGUUUUUUAUUUGCAUUUAUGACAUUUAGCAGAUGCCCUUAUCCAGAGCGACUUACAUUUAUCUCAUUUAUACAACUGAGCAAUUGGGGGUUAAGGGCCUCGCCCAAGAGCCCAACAAUGGUAGCUUGGCAGUGCUGGGGCUUGAACUCCUGACCUUCUGACCGGCAACCCAGAGACUUUAACCACUGAGACACCACUUAUAUGUUCUAGAACGCUUUUGUCAUCACCCUGUUUUGCGUAAGAUGACUGCUGUAGAAGUUCUUGUUUGUGACUGUCGUGGGAAAGUCUCUCUGGACUGAAUUUGUGUUUCUAAACUAGAUGUGGUGAAACUGUUGUGAAAACGGUCCUUACAGCAUGUUAAAGGGUGCAUGAUAGAGUGCUUGUUGAGUGUGGAGUAUCACACAGUAUUCUCUGUGCAUUGCACAACUUUCAUUAACUUUGAGAAAGAGGAAGUAGCCAUUUUCCCAUCAGUCCCCACUGCCCUGCCCUGGUCUUGCAGUCCCUCUGACAUGCUGAGUGUCUCACAGUGGCUCUGAAGUACCAUGAGAACGCUAGUUAUGCAUGCAACUGUGGUUUUAUAAACUGCUAAUACUUGUCAGAGGCAUGUGUAUGACCUUGCAACAAAGUCAUAAAGUGACAUGAUUGUAAUUUAGCAUCCUGCAGAAUCUUGUAAAGAGGGGCCUUAAAGGACUCUAGCACAUGUGAGGAGGGGAAAUGCUGUUACACCUGCUGUCAGUCUUUAAUAAUGUCUGCCACUUGUCAGAGUGGCAGUGAACCAGCCUCAUGCUGAUGAAUUGUGCAGCUUAUUCCACUGUGAGACCAAGUGCUGGAAAUAGGCAUUGUGCAUGAACCGCUGACAUGAACCAAUCCUGUGGUUGCACGGCAUAGAUUACAUCUGACACCCUUAGCAGUCAGUCUUUUAGCACAGAGCAAAUCUCACAUUGCCUGGAACAUAGCAUCCUCUUUUCCAUAAAGAGAAGAAGAGAAGGAAACUUAUGGACUAUGGCUUAUAAACAGCAUGGUGCAGCUAUAGGGUUAAUUAAUUUAUUUAUUAAUUCCUCUUCAGCAACUGUUUUAUCCUGGUCAGUGUUGUCAUGGAUUCGAACUCUAUCCCAGCAACACUGGGCACAAGGUGGGAGAAUUCAGAUGGGACGCCAGUCCAUCUCAGAACACCAUUCACACACAUUCACUCCUGGGGGCAAUCUAACAUAGUAAACCUGCAUGUUUUUAGACAGUGAAAGGAAACCGCACACACAACCACAAGGAGGACAUGCAAACCUCUGCACAGACAUUAACAUGAUUUCAUUUAAUGAUCUAUAAGGAUCUUGUUGAAUGCACAAUCAUGUCUACACUCUUUUAUUUUCUGUUUGUCAUAUUCUAAGUCUUCCAGGCAUCUCACCAGGUCUAAACAUUUUUUUCUGUUUUCUUUACGUUAAGUUUCUCGCUCUUCUUGGUUUUGCUUGUGCACACACUUCUUAAAUAAUAUAAUA